rnacentral:sRNA from 1 species
UACCACUGGUUAUACUGGUGGUUCAAAAAAGCUUUUAGCUAUAAGUAGAAAAAAAGGAACCCUCUUUGUUAAAAUAGAAGUAGGUUUGCCAACCACAUCUGAAAUCAAGGAGGG